AUGCGAUAAGUAAUGUGAAUUGCAGAAUUCAGUGAAUCAUCGAAUCUUUGAACGCACAUUGCGCCCGCCAGUAUUCUGGCGGGCAUGCCUGUUCGAGCGUCAUUACAACCCUCAGGCCCCCGGGCCUGGCGUUGGGGAUCGGCGGAAGCCCCCUGCGGGCACAACGCCGUCCCCCAAAUACAGUGGCGGUCCCGCCGCAGCUUCCAUUGCGUAGUAGCUAACACCUCGCAACUGGAGAGCGGCGCGGCCACGCCGUAAAACACCCAACUUCUGAAUGUUGACCUCGAAUCAGGUAGGAAUACCCGCUGAACUUAA
rnacentral:misc_RNA from 1 species